GGGGAUGUAGCCCAGAGGCACAAGUGCCUGCCUAGCAAGCACAAGGUCCUGAGUUCAAUUCCCAGUAACCCCC
rnacentral:tRNA from 1 species